rnacentral:misc_RNA from 1 species
GCGUCAUUUCAACCAUCAAGCCUCGCUUGGUAUUGGGCUCUCGUCCGUCCGGACGAGCCUGCAACCCAGUGGCGGUUCCCUGUGGAUUCCAGCGUUGUAAAUCAAUCGCGCUGUGGAUAUCUCCGGGUUGCAACCAGCCAAAUCACCUCAAUUUUUACUCGGUUGACCUCGGAUCAGGUAGGGAUACCCGCUGAACUUAA